rnacentral:misc_RNA from 1 species
ACUCUUCAACCCUCCCUUUUCUCAGUGACUAGAGAGGUGCUUGGAUUCUGAGUGUUUGCCCCUUACCCGGGCUCAUUCGUAAUGCAUUAGCAUCCCAUUCGAAUUUCGGAUUGACUUGGCGUAAUAGACUAUUCGCUGAGGAUUCUACUCUCGCAGUAGAGCCGGGUUCGAGAGGAAGCUUCUAAUCUAGCUUAGUCUACUUUUAAU